AGAAGCUUGCUUUCUUUGCUGGCGACCGGCGCACGGGUGAGUAACACGUAUCCCCCUUGACGAUGACUCGGGGAUAGCCUUUCGAAAGAAAGAUUCCUACCCGAUGGUAUAUCUGAAAGGCAUCUUUCAGCUAUUAAAGAAUUUCGGUCAUUGAUGGGGAUGCGUUCCAUUAGGUUGUUGGCGGGGUAACGGCCCACCAAGCCAUCGAUGGAUAGGGGUUCUGAGAGGAAGGUCCCCCACAUUGGAACUGAGACACGGUCCAAACUCCUACGGGAGGCAGCAGUGAGGAAUAUUGGUCAAUGGACGAGAGUCUGAACCAGCCAAGUAGCGUGAAGGAUGACUGCCCUAUGGGUUGUAAACUUCUUUUAUACGGGAAUAAAGUUAGGCACGUGUGCCUUUUUGUAUGUACCGUAUGAAUAAGGAUCGGCUAACUCCGUGCCAGCAGCCGCGGUAAUACGGAGGAUCCGAGCGUUAUCCGGAUUUAUUGGGUUUAAAGGGAGCGUAGGCGGAUGCUUAAGUCAGUUGUGAAAGUUUGCGGCUCAACCGUAAAAUUGCAGUUGAUACUGGGUGUCUUGAGUACAGUAGAGGCAGGCGGAAUUCGUGGUGUAGCGGUGAAAUGCUUAGAUAUCACGAAGAACUCCGAUUG
rnacentral:rRNA from 1 species